rnacentral:rRNA from 1 species
AUUGAACGCUGGCGGCAUGCCUUACACAUGCAAGUCGAACGGUAACAGGUCUUCGGAUGCUGACGAGUGGCGAACGGGUGAGUAAUACAUCGGAACGUGCCCGAUCGUGGGGGAUAACGAAGCGAAAGCUUUGCUAAUACCGCAUAAGAUCUACGGAUGAAAGAAGGGGACCGCAAGGCCUUGCGCGAACGGAGCGGCCGAUGGCAGAUUAGGUCGUUGGUGGGAUAAACGCUUACCAAGCCGACGAUCUGUAGCUGGUCUGAGAGGACGACCAGCCACGAUGGGACUGAGACACGGCCCAGGCUCCUACGGGAGGCAGCAGUGGGGAAUUUUGGACAAUGGGCGAAAGCCUGAUCCAGCCAUGCCGCGUGCAGGAUGAAGGCCUUCGGGUUGUAAACUGCUUUUGUACGGAACGAAAAGACUCUUUCUAAUAAAGAGGGUCCAUGACGGUACCGUAAGAAUAAGCACCGGCUAACUACGUGCCAGCAGCCGCAGUAA